AUGUAGCCAAGUUACUAAUGACUAGUUUUUUUUAUUAUAAACGUCUAGUUUACAGUCCAACAUGCAUCAUGGCCGGAGGCCGGAACUUUGUCAUUACGGCGAUAUUAUGUCAUAUAUUUUAUAUUACGUUAUUUAAAAAACCAAGUGUAGAUGCAUAUUCGCCAGAUAAAUUCGUAAGUAAAAUUUACGUUGCAUUUAAACAUUAAUUAAUGGGGAGGAAAACCAAGUGAAAAUUUGGCAGCACUAUCGACUGCGCAUUUCAGGUUCUGACCAAUUACAUUAUUGGGGAGAAAAACUGGCGACUGGACCAACCAAUUACCUCUGGGGAAUCAGGCACAGUCGCUUAAGGCACCAUCUGUAAUUAGCUUUUAGUUUUUCUCCCCAUUGUUUAGGUGUUCAAAUUACAUUACAUUCAAUUUCAGGGUCCAGUAAAGCCUCGUUUUACACUGACAGAGUAUUGUAAAGGACCAAAAACAUCAAACUGUUCUCGAAGCAAGAUCGAAUACUUUGGUGAUUAUGGAAACGUCACUUAUACAACGAAUAUGCUCUCUAAUGUACAAAUUCACAUGAUCAAAGUAUCAAUUUGGGAUAUAACAAAUGGCACAUUAGCAAGAAAUGCUGAUAUAGUAAGGCGCGUCGAAAAUCCUUGCCAGAGUUUAUUUUUUAGUCAAUUUUUGAAAACAUAUGAUAUGAUUACAGAGAAUUGUGUUAUAAAGAAGGGUCUCUACGUGGUAAACGUCGACACUUCCAAAAUUAUGGCAGACUUUUUGGGCGGAAACUUUUUCUACGGGAAAUUUAGAGUUCAAACUAUCAUAACAUCAAAACGCUGUAAUAUUGCAUGCACCGUGUCCGAAUGUGUUUUAGACCCGGUACGUAGUAAAAUUAAACCAAAUUAACAAAUUAAGUAUACAUAAGUAGAUAUAUUUACACAGGAAAGAUAAAUAAAUCCUGAAAUAAAUUGUUGUUAAUGAUGUUGCUCAGGUGUUAUUUGACAACAUAUUGUUCUUUCAAAUCUGGGAUCUGGGAAAUAGGGCUCGGACAGGCCUGGCUUGGGAUCGGGUGGCCGUGUGUGAGAUGUCCACACUCUGUUUCGUUAUAUUAUACUAAUAAUGUAUAAUACAACGAAACAGAGUCUUAUUUGGCAUGAGAUAGGUAUUCAAAACCGGAUAAUAAGUCUCGUUCACAAACUAUUAAGUCUGGUCAGUCAUACCGUCGUCUUAGUCAAUAUGAAAACGAUUGACAUUUACCUAAAAUUAGAAUCAUAGGUUCACCAAAUAUCUUAUUACACUCUGGAAUUCAUAGCAUGGAUGGUCAGUUAUUCCAGUAGGUACUUAUCAAAAUUUCCUCAUUUCAUGAAUACCAAAAUCGAAUAUUUACUCUCACGAAUAUUUUAAAGAUAAACAAAAACCAUCCGCACUUCCUACGGGCACCAAAGUUAAUUAAACCACAUUGGCCCGCGCUGUCUAUGUCUAGAGGCACUCUUGACUCGGCCAUACGGAAACGAAAUUCUUAUUUAUUUUGAAACCCUACCGAGGGGUUGAGAGUUCACCAAACUGCAAUCAACUGGCCCCUCUACACAUGUGAUUUACACUCUCGCCCGGUUAAGUUAAACUCUAUUAUAUUCCUUGGCGCUAGAGGUGUUUUUCGGUUGUUAUGGUGUAGUAGGGGGACCACGAGUGUGGGUGCAUGGCGUCGAGAUUGCGACAGUUCGCUGCGAACGCAUCCGCGUCUGUGCGGGACGGAGAGCGCAGUCGCAGUACGCGGAAGCAACGUCACACUAGAGGGGAUCUCAUUUGACCCCGCACUGUCGUUUAGCUGUCGUUUUCCUGACGUUUGGAGGCGGUGAUGUCUGAAGUGAGAAAGGUAAUUUUAAGUUAU